GCCCGCUUGGCUAAGUGGUAUAGCGUGUCACUAGUACUCCUAGCUGUCAUGACAAGAUCAGCGGUUCGAUUCCGCUAGUGGGCA